rnacentral:rRNA from 1 species
UACGAAGGGGGCUAGCGUUGGUCGGAAUUACUGGGCGUAAAGGGCGCGUAGGCGGAUAGUUCAGUUGGGGGGGAAAGCCCGGGGCUCAACCUCGGAACUGCCUUCAAUACUGGCUAUCUUGAGUACGGGAGAGGUGUGUGGAACUCCGAGUGUAGAGGUGAAAUUCGUAGAUAUUCGGAAGAACACCAGUGGCGAAGGCGACACACUGGCCCGUUACUGACGCUGAGGCGCGAAAGCGUGGGGAGCAAACAGG